rnacentral:rRNA from 1 species
UCGGGAAUUUUGGGCAAUGGGCGAAAGCCUGACCCAGCAACGCCGCGUGAAGGAUGAAGUAUUUCGGUAUGUAAACUUCGUAAGAAUAGGAAGAAUAAAUGACGGUACUAUUUGUAAGGUCCGGCUAACUACGUGCCAGCAGCCGCGGUAAUACGUAGGGACCAAGCGUUGUUCGGAUUUACUGGGCGUAAAGGGCGCGUAGGCGGUGUGUCAAGUCAGUUGUGAAAUCUCCGAGCUUAACUCGGAACGGUCAACUGAUACUGUCACACUAGAGUACAGAAGGGGCAAUCGGAAUUCUUGGUGUAGCGGUGAAAUGCGUAGAUAUCAAGAGGAACACCUGAGGCGAAGGCGGGUUGCUGGGCUGACACUGACGCUGAGGCGCGAAAGCCAGGGGAGCAAACGGGAUUAGAUACCCAUGUAGUCCCUGAGCGGGCUGGCAAGGCGCAU